rnacentral:rRNA from 1 species
GAUAUCUCUCCGGGAACUGAGAUAAUCCUAUAGUACCGAUGCYGGAAUGCCGWUCCCAAGCUCCGCGCCUAGAUGAUCUGSGCCGAUAGUCGUKGUGGGUACGGCCUACAAGCGAUAAUCGGUACGGGUGUGGGAGGCAGRGCCCGGRGUUGGAUYUGAGRCMCGAAUCCAGGCCCUACGGGCGCAGCAGGCGSSGAAACUUACAAUGCGGGCAACCGUGAUAAGGGAACCUCGAGUGCCUGUACAUGCAGGCUGUCUGGGUGUCUAAAACACACCCAAAGAAAGGGCCGGGCAAGACCGGUGCCAGCCGCCGCGGUAAUACCGGCGGCUCGAGUGGUGGCCACUUUUAUUGGGCUUAAAGCGUUCGUAGCUGGGUUGUUACGUCUCUUGGGAAAUCUGGCAGCUUAACUGUCAGGCGUCUAAGAGAUACUGGCAAUCUAGGAACCGGGAGAGGWRARRRGUACUUCGGGGGUAGGAGUGAAAWMAAUGUAAUCCWMGAGGGACCACCUGUGGCGAAGGCGCCUCACCAGAACGGCUUCGACAGUGAGGGACGAAAGCUGGGGGAGCAAACCGGAUUAGAUACCCGGGUAGUCCCAGCCGUAAACGAUGCGCGCUAGGUGUGUCGAUGACCACGAGUCAUCGAGGUGCCGAAGGGAAACCGUGAAACGCGCCGCCUGGGAAGUACGGUCGCAAGGCUGAAACUUAAAGGAAUUGGCGGGGGAG